rnacentral:tRNA from 1 species
GAGGGUAGAGCUCAGUGGUAGAGUGCAUGCUUAGCAUGCAUGAGGUCCUAGGUUCAAUCCCCAUACCUCCA